UGUGGAUACGCUUGGUAGGCCUAUGUCCCGUUCGCUUGUUUCCGCACG
rnacentral:rRNA from 1 species